rnacentral:rRNA from 1 species
UACGUAGGUGGCAAGCGUUGUCCGGAUUUACUGGGUGUAAAGGGCGUGCAGCCGGAGAGACAAGUCAGGUGUGAAAUCCACGGGCUCAACCCGUGAACUGCAUCUGAAACUGUUUCCCUUGAGUGUCGGAGAGGUAAUCGGAAUUCCUAGUGUAGCGGUGAAAUGCGUAGAUAUUAGGAAGAACACCAGUGGCGAAGGCGGAUUACUGGACGAUAACUGACGGUGAGGCGCGAAAACGUGGGGAGCAAACAGG